UACGGAGGGUGCGAGCGUUAAUCGGAAUUACUGGGCGUAAAGCGUGCGUAGGCGGCUUUUUUAAGUUGGAUGUGAAAGCCCCGGGCGUUAACCUGGGAACUGCAUCCAAAACUGGAAGGCUUGAGUGCGGGAGAGGAGUGUGGAAUUUCCUGUGUAGCGGUGAAAUGCGUAGAUAUAGGAAGGAACACCAGUGGCGAAGGCGACACUCUGGCUUGACACUGACGCUGAGGUACGAAAGCGUGGGGAGCAAACAGG
rnacentral:rRNA from 1 species